GCGUUCUGUAAGCCUGUGAAGGUGGCCUGUGAGGGUUGCUGGAGGUAUCAGAAGUGCGAAUGCUGACAUAAGUAACGAUAAAGCGGGUGAAAAGCCCGCUCGCCGGAAGACCAAGGGUUCCUGUCCAACGUUAAUCGGGGCAGGGUGAGUCGACCCCUAAGGCGAGGCCGAAAGGCGUAGUCGAUGGGAAACAGGUUAAUAUUCCUGUACUUGGUGUUACUGCGAAGGGGGGACGGAGAAGGCUAUGUUGGCCGGGCGACGGUUGUCCCGGUUUAAGCGUGUAGGCUGGU
rnacentral:rRNA from 1 species